GACGAACGCUGGCUACGGGCUUAACACAUGCAAGUCGAACGGAAAGGCCCUGCUUUUGUGGGGUGCUCGGGUGGCGACCGGGUGAGUAACACGAAAGUAACCUGCCCUUGCCUUUGGGAUAACUUCAGGAAACUGGACUUAUUCCUGAUACGUCAUUCCGCCGGCUGGGGGGGGCUGGCAACGUUUCGGCGUUUGGGGAUGCACUCGCGGCUAUUCGGCUGGUUGGCUGGGUGGUGGCUUACCAAGGCUUUGACGGGUAGCGGGCCUGAGAGGGUGACUGGCCACAGUGCGACAGAGAUACGGCACAGAGUCCUACGGGAGGCAGCAGUGGGGACGAGUGCACAAUGGGCGGAAGCAUGAUGCAGCAACGCCGCGCGCGGGAUGACGGCCUGCGUGUUGGAAACCGCAUACGCCUGUGACGAAGCGUGAGUGAAGGUAAUGGGUAAAGAAGCACCGGCUAACUACGUG
rnacentral:rRNA from 1 species